rnacentral:misc_RNA from 1 species
UGACCAAACAGACCGCGAACGCGUAAUCCAGCCUGCCGGCGGCGGCACCGUCCGUCCCUCGGCUAAGUCCUCGACAACCUCCUCUCCUCGGAGCGGGGGCUCGGGGUAAAAGAACCCACGGCGCCUAAGGCGUCAAGGAACACUGUGCCUAGCGCGGGGACGCGGUUGGCUUGCUGGCCGCCCCCGUGCUGCAAUGCUAUUUAAUCCACACGACUCUCGGCAACGGAUAUCUCGGCUCUCGCAUCGAUGAAGAACGUAGCGAAAUGCGAUACYUGGUGUGAAUUGCAGAAUCCCGCGAACCAUCGAGUCUUUGAACGCAAGUUGCGCCCGAGGCCAUUCGGCCGAGGGCACGCCUGCCUGGGCGUCACGCCAAACACGCUCCCACCCCCCACUUCAGGGAGCGGGAUGCGGCAUGUGGUCCCCCGUCUCGCAAGGGGCGGUAGGCCGAAGAUAUGGCUGCCGGCGUACCGUGCCGGACACAGCGCGUGGUGGGCGACCUCGCUUUACUUACCGCAGUGCAUCCGACAUGUAGCCGACAUGAUGGCCUCGAAGGACCCUAAGAACGGUGCGCACGACGCUCCG